GGUACUGCUCUGUUGGCUUAGUGGUUAGAGUGUCUGCCUUGAAUGUGGGAGGUUGUGGAUUUAAAUACCAGGCAUGUCA